CACCCUGCAGUCGCGUUUGCGUUGUGGUCGUGGUAGAAUCAUAAGCAAAACGAAUGAAACUGGACAAAAAAUUGGAGAACAUGUACAUGUGAUUGCGUGGGAACUCCUGAUCAAAACAACUUUGUUUUGAUGUUUGCCGUCUCAGUAAAAUGUUUAUUCAAUAUCUCGUUUCGAUGAUUUUCCAAAUACCACCACAACAGGCAUUAUUAAAACUGGUUACCGCCGACACCGACGUUACGAAAAUUCAAACACAAAAGCAAGUUACACCUCGCAUAUUUUGCUUUGUUAUAUAUUUAAUAUUUGUUUUUACAGAUGAAACAGUCAGGGCUUCUGUUUAGGCAAUUCUGAACGUCCUGUAGUUGACGAGACAACGUCCGUCCGUAUAAGAAGUGGUUGUCGUCGGCUGAUGGCGUAGCUGAGCCAAAGAAUACCACAUGAAAUGUAAAAGUUCCCAAAGCUUUGCAGACUACGUGAAAGAAGAUAAAUUUCUUUUUUCUCGUAUAAAGGCAAAGGUUUCGGAAUUCCAUUCAUCAUGGGUUAUACCCAUCUCCAAUGUUGGUAAUGAAGGCUGUAUACCUACAAUUUCAUUUCUUACUCCAGAUGGCAACAAAUUUUAAAACAGAGGUCCAACUCCUGCUGUUCAUUGGGCUACUUGAUGUUUACGAUACCGAGUAUGCUUAUAAGUCCGUCAUUGUUAUGGAUUUCGCCUGUUGUGGUCGUGGUAGAAUCACAAGCAAAACGGUAAGCCUAAGCAUUGGGUUGUUGGGUGAUAGUAUUGUAAUGUCGUGGGUUUAGCACUUAGUUUAUUGACACGCGCACUGUUUUUGUUGUUUACGUAGUAUUUGUAUUGUAUAUUAGUUUAGUUUUAAAUGUGUUUCUUCUCACUAGUUGUGUUCUUUUGUGUUUUCCUUAUCACUAUUUGACCUAGUAUUUUGCUUUCCUUAUCACUGAUAUUCACGCACGACUUGUUUCCCGCACUUGUUUUAACGUUCCAACGUGUUCCUUUGUUGCUGUCAUUGCCGUUAGCCGAAUUGCUUGUCACGUGUCACGCUUUGCGCACUUUUCAUCCUUCUAGUUUUAGGUGUAUGAGGCAGUUCUUGUUGUAUCGUGUGGACGAAAGGUUGUAUUAAUUGUGAACUGUUUUAUCGAGUGAAAGCCGUAUCGAGUU